AGCGGGCACCUUCGGGUGUCAGCGGCAGACGGGUGAGUANCACGUGGGAACGUACCCUUUGGUUCGGAAUAACGCUGGGAAACUAGCGCUAAUACCGGAUACGCCCUUUUGGGGAAAGGCUUGCUGCCGAAGGAUCGGCCCGCGUCUGAUUAGCUAGUUGGUGGGGUAAUGGCCUACCAAGGCGACGAUCAGUAGCUGGUCUGAGAGGAUGAUCAGCCACACUGGGACUGAGACACGGCCCAGACUCCUACGGGAGGCAGCAGUGGGGAAUAUUGGACAAUGGGCGCAAGCCUGAUCCAGCCAUGCCGCGUGAGUGAUGAAGGCCUUAGGGUUGUAAAGCUCUUUUGUCCGGGACGAUAAUGACGGUACCGGAAGAAUAAGCCCCGGCUAACUUCGUGCCAGCAGCCGCGGUAAUACGAAGGGGGCUAGCGUUGCUCGGAAUCACUGGGCGUAAAGGGCGCGUAGGCGGCCAUUCAAGUCGGGGGUGAAAGCCUGUGGCUCAACCCACAGAAUUGCCCUUCGAUACUGUUUGGCUUGAGUAUGGUAGAGGUCAGAUGGAACUGC
rnacentral:rRNA from 1 species